GCAUGCAAUGGAUACUACUGUGACGGUUAUAGGCCAAAUUCCUAUAACAAACCCACGCUUUGGACUGAAAAUUGGGAUGGAUGAAUUAUGGUGCAUUCUUGGAGAAAGACGGAGUAGGGUUUAGAGGGCAAGUUAAACUUACUGGAUUUCAAAAUGGGGAUAUAGACCUCUCAAAGUCUUUAUGGACCUACCAGGUUGGGCUCAAGGGAGAAUUCUUGAAGAUAUAUGCUGCAGAAGAAAAUGAAAAGACAGGGUGGACUGAUUUAACUCCAGAUGUUGAUCCAUCGAUAUUAACAAUUUGAUGGCACCGCCUCCACCACCUCCAACAGACCAAGCUUCAGAUGCAAAUUUAAGAGAGUCGCCAUCUAUUUCAGUUUGGGAGUCACAAGAUGAUUCUUAGUUUAUUUACAUUAAUUUACUAAGGAAUGAACUUUAUGAAGAUUUUUUUUAUUUUGGUAGGGGUAACCUUAAAAUGAUAACUUUAUGACUUAUUUUAGUAUUGAACAUUAUAAAGAAUUUUAGCAUUAAACAUUU